UGCCCAAUGUAAUGCAGUGGAAUACCGCCCUAGGUAGCGUGCUGAAGCCCAGUCUAGUGGAGUGCUGUGUGCAAGAUCAUAGUAAGACUCCUUGCUAGCAUAUGCUUGUGUUUAAUGCAGCGACCUGCUUCUGCAUGGAGGUAAAUGAAGCUUUUAAGCAGGGCGGAGAGACGGGGGACCAGUGAAAAGAUUAAUUGACUUUCUGCAGAGCUUCACUUAUCCUCCACUGGCACCUUUGACUCGAGAGUGAAAGAAGUGAAAGAAAUACCUGGGAAGUAUGAUAACAGUAAAUUGUAGAGUUGGGCAAGACAAGCUCAAAGAAAUGGAAUCGAUAGCAUGACUAGGAGCUCUACACUCUGGAUGUGGAUGGUCCAAAUUGUUUCACACUGCGGCCAAGAUUUUCCAAGAAGGGGUCCCAUGCUUGGAGAAAAACUUAACGAAGAGCUUUAACGGGAUUAUGGCUCUAAGGGGACAAGUUUUGGUCAGGAAGAGGAAGGAGAGAGAACAUAGGCUGUGACUGGUUGCCAUCUAGUGGCUUUCACUGGCACCUCCUGCUAUGUAUUGUAAGUAAGCUAGAAAGAACUGAAAUAAAGCUGAAAUAGCAAGU